rnacentral:rRNA from 1 species
GCCCUUCGGGGUGGAUUAGUGGCGAACGGGUGAGUAACACGUGGGCAAUCUGCCCUUCACUCUGGGACAAGCCCUGGAAACGGGGUCUAAUACCGGAUAACACCGGCCUCCGCAUGGAGGCUGGUUGAAAGCUCCGGCGGUGAAGGAUGAGCCCGCGGCCUAUCAGCUUGUUGGUGGGGUAAUGGCCUACCAAGGCGACGACGGGUAGCCGGCCUGAGAGGGCGACCGGCCACACUGGGACUGAGACACGGCCCAGACUCCUACGGGAGGCAGCAGUGGGGAAUAUUGCACAAUGGGCGAAAGCCUGAUGCAGCGACGCCGCGUGAGGGAUGACGGCCUUCGGGUUGUAAACCUCUUUCAGCAGGGAAGAAGCGAAAGUGACGGUACCUGCAGAAGAAGCGCCGGCUAACUACGUGCCAGCAGCCGCGGUAAUACGUAGGGCGCAAGCGUUGUCCGGAAUUAUUGGGCGUAAAGAGCUCGUAGGCGGCUUGUCACGUCGGGUGUGAAAGCCCGGGGCUUAACCCCGGGUCUGCAUCCGAUACGGGCAGGCUAGAGUGUGGUAGGGGAGAUCGGAAUUCCUGGUGUAGCGGUGAAAUGCGCAGAUAUCAGGAGGAACACCGGUGGCGAAGGCGGAUCUCUGGGCCAUUACUGACGCUGAGGAGCGAAAGCGUGGGGAGCGAACAGGAUUAGAUACCCUGGUAGUCCACGCCGUAAACGUUGGGAACUAGGUGUUGGCGACAUUCCACGUCGUCGGUGCCGCAGCUAACGCAUUAAGUUCCCC